rnacentral:rRNA from 1 species
GACAGAGGGUGCAAACGUUGUUCGGAAUUACUGGGCGUAAAGCGAGCGUAGUCGGUUAUUUAAGUCGGAUGUGAAAUCCCCGGGCUCAACCUGGGAAUUGCAUUCGAUACUGGAUAGCUAGAGUUCGGCAGAGGGAAGCGGAAUUUCGGGUGUAGCGGUGAAAUGCGUAGAUAUCCGAAGGAACAUCAGUGGCGAAAGCGGCUUCCUGGACCAGAACUGACGAUCAGGCUCGAAAGCGUGGGGAGCAAACAGG